CCUACGGGAGGCUGCAGUGAGGAAUAUUGGUCAAUGGGCGCGAGCCUGAACCAGCCACGUAGCGUGAAGGAUGACUGCCCUACGGGUUGUAAACCUCUUUUAUAAAGGACUAAAGUGACGCACGCGUGCCUUUUUGUUCGUACUUUAUGCAUAAGGAUCGGCUCACUCCGUGCCAGCAGCCGCGGUAAUACGGAGGAUCCGAGCGUUAUCCGGAUUUAUUGGGGUUAAAGGGGGCGUAGAUGGGUUGUUAAGUCAGUGGUGAAAGUUUGCGGCUCAACCGUAAAAUGGCAAUUGAUACUGGAAGUCUUGAGUACAGUUGAGGUAGGCGGAAUUCGUAGUGUAGCGGUGAAAUGCUUAGAUAUCACGAAGAACUCCGGUGGCGAAGGCAGCUUACUAAGCUGCCACUGACAUUGAUGCUCGAAAGUGUGGGUAUCAAACAGGAUUAGAUACCCGAGUAGUC
rnacentral:rRNA from 1 species